UUUUUUUUUUUUUCGUUCUAUUUUCCAUUUACUAUUUUUACGUACACCCUUACUGUACGUCCAUAUGUCCACACGCAGUCUCCAUACUCAUUUCCCUAAGCUGUUUUACUCCAAUUCCGUUAAUUCUAAUUUUUUCUCAUUUUAACCUUAACGUACGCAGGAGUAUAACCAUUAACCUAUAUAUUUUUUUUAUUUUUGAUUAAAAAAACAAUUUUGAAAUGACUGUAAAAACAUCAGAAGAUGUCUAUAAUUUUGUAAAAGAGUGUAUAAAAAUAAAAGAAAAAAUAGAAUGUAAAAAAAAGAAUUUCCAAACAAAGGAAACAAAAGCUGUCGAAUUACCAAAUAAAUUAACCAAAUAUAAUCUUGAAUAUACACGUUUUGAAAACUGUAUAAAAGAAAUAGAAAAUGAAGAACAAGAAAAAUUAAAAGAAAAACAGAAUAAAAAUGAAUUAUUAAAUAGUCGAAAUCCUUGUAGCCAUGAUCAUUCCAAAGAAAGACAAUUAUAUGAAAAGGAUUCAAAAGAAAAAAUAAAAGCUGCUAAUGCUUUUAAUGAUGAAGGGAAAAAAGCUUUUUAUCAAAAAAAUUAUAAACUUGCUUGUGUUUAUUUUAGAAAAGGGUUAAUACAAUUAGAUUAUAGUUUUCCUGAUUCGAUAGAAGAACAAAAUGAGAAAAACAAAAUAGAAAUCAAUUUACAUUUAAACAUGGCAUUAACCAAAUUUAACAUGUCUAGUUAUUAUGAAUGUAUAAGUGAAUGUUCAACGGUACUAAAUCUAGACAAAAAUAAUGUAAAGGCAUUUUACAGAAAAGGACAAGCCUAUAUGAGCCUAGAUUUAUACAAUGAAGCAAAAACAGAAUUUUUAAAAGUACUAGCUAUCGAACCUAAUGAUAGUAAUGUAAAAAAAUCAUUAUUAAUUUUAAAAAAUAAAGUAUUAAUUUAUAAUAAAAAAAAAAAACUAGUAUGUUCAAAAUUUUUUUCUUCUAACAAAAAUGAAGAAAAUAAAAAUGUUAAGAAUAAACAAGAAAAAAACAACCAUUGUGUUGAUGAAAAAACACAUGAUCAUAUUAAUACGACUUUUACUAAAAAUGAUAAUACACAUAAUGAUAUAUUAAAUAAAAGUAACAAUAAUGAUGUUCAAAAAUUAACAAAUAAUCAUAACAGUCUGUCAAAUAAAAGCAACACGUUAAACAAUAAUAAUGUUUUAAAUAAAAUACAAAAUAACAUUAGCUGUAUAAUCAAAACAAAGUUAUACAGAUUAAUAAGAAAUAAUUUUAAUUUUUUUGAAAAAUACUGUGAGUUUUUUUUUAUGAAUAAAAUAUUCGUAUAUCUUUUUUUUUGUUUUUUAACUUUGUUAUUACUAUAUCUUUUCGCUUAUACCUUUAAUUGUUAUCAAAAUUUUUAUAUCCUUACAUUACUAUCAUCCCUGUCAAUUUUCUCAACCAUUUAUUAUUUAUUUAUAAAUGUUCAUAACAAACAUAAAAAUUAAGACACCCUUAAAGAAAUUUAUUCAUUUAUACGCACCCUUUUAUUUUUAAAUUAACAUACCCAAAAAAAAAAAAAAAAAAAAAAAUACCCCGCGUAUGUUCUGUGUAUAAAAAAAGUGACAAUAUUUGUACAGUGCUGCUUAUACAUGUGUGCAUAUAUAUAUAUAUAUAUAUAUAUGUUCAUUACUAAAACGGUUUCUUUUUUUUUUUGUUGUUAUCAAAACGGAAAAACAAGAACGAAAGCAAAAAUAAAGGCAAUAUGGAAACAUAAGUAAAAGUAAAA
ensembl:lncRNA